UACUUGACAGGUGGGGUGGGGUGAAAUGGUCAACUGGGGCUAGUAGUUGUCAUUAACACCUGUUCCUACUUGACAGGUGGGGUGGGGUGAAAUGGUCAACUGGGGCUAGUAGUUGUCAUUAACACCUGUUCCUACUUGACAGGUGGGGUGGGGUGAAAUGGUCAACUGGGGCUAGUAGUUGUCAUUAACACCUGUUCUUACUUGACAGGUGGGGUGGGGUGAAAUGGUCAACUGGGGCUAGUAGUUGUCAUUAACACCUGUUCCUACUUGACAGGUGGGGUGGGGUGAAAUGGUCAACUGGGGCUAGUAGUUGUCAUUAACACCUGUUCUUACUUGACAGGUGGGGUGGGGUGAAAUGGUCAACUGGGGCUAGUAGUUGUCAUUAACACCUGUUCCUACUUGACAGGUGGGGUGGGGUGAAAUGGUCAACUGGGGCUAGUAGUUGUCAUUAACACCUGUUCCUACUUGACAGGUGGGGUGGGGUGAAAUGGUCAACUGGGGCUAGUAGUUGUCAUUAACACCUGUUCUUACUUGACAGGUGGGGUGGGGUGAAAUGGUCAACUGGGGACAGUAGUUGUCAUUAACACCUGUUCCUACUUGACAGGUGGGGUGGGGUGAAAUGGUCAACUGGGGCUAGUAGUUGUCAUUAACACCUGUUCUUACUUGACAGGUGGGGUGGGGUGA